rnacentral:tRNA from 2 species
GCCGUCUUAGCUCAGCUGUAGAGCGGCGGUAUCGUAAACCGCAGGUCCCGAGUUCGAUCCUCGGAGACGGCU